GGACGAACGCUGGCGGCGCGCCUAACACAUGCAAGUCGAACGAGAGAUGAAGAGCUUGCUCUUCAAAUCGAGUGGCGAACGGGUGAGUAACGCGUGAGGAACCUGCCUCAAAGAGGGGGACAACAGUUGGAAACGACUGCUAAUACCGCAUAAGCCCACGGCUCGGCAUCGAGCAGAGGGAAAAGGAGCAAUCCGCUUUGAGAUGGCCUCGCGUCCGAUUAGCUAGUUGGUGAGGUAACGGCCCACCAAGGCGACGAUCGGUAGCCGGACUGAGAGGUUGAACGGCCACAUUGGGACUGAGACACGGCCCAGACUCCUACGGGAGGCAGCAGUGGGGAAUAUUGCACAAUGGGGGAAACCCUGAUGCAGCGACGCCGCGUGGAGGAAGAAGGUCUUCGGAUUGUAAACUCCUGUUGUUGAGGAAGAUAAUGACGGUACUCAACAAGGAAGUGACGGCUAACUACGUGCCAGCAGCCGCGGUAAAACGUAGGUCACAAGCGUUGUCCGGAAUUACUGGGUGUAAAGGGAGCGCAGGCGGGAGAACAAGUUGGAAGUGAAAUCCAUGGGCUCAACCCAUGAACUGCUUUCAAAACUGUUUUUCUUGAGUAGUGCAGAGGUAGGCGGAAUUCCCGGUGUAGCGGUGGAAUGCGUAGAUAUCGGGAGGAACACCAGUGGCGAAGGCGGCCUACUGGGCACCAACUGACGCUGAGGCUCGAAAGUGUGGGUAGCAAACAGGAUUAGAUACCCUGGUAGUCCACACCGUAAACGAUGAUUACUAGGUGUUGGAGGAUUGACCCCUUCAGUGCCGCAGUUAACACAAUAAGUAAUCCACCUGGGGAGUACGACCGCAAGGUUGAAACUCAAAGGAAUUGACG
rnacentral:rRNA from 1 species